CGGGUGAGUAAUGCUUGGGAAUCUGGCUUAUGGGGGGGGAUAACUACGGGAAACUGUAGCUAAUACCGCGUAGUGUCGAGAGACGAAAGUGCGGGACCGCAAGGCCGCAUGCCAUGAGAUGAGCCCAAGUGGGAUUAGGUAGUUGGUGGGGUAAAGGCCUACCAAGCCUGCGAUCUCUAGCUGGUCUGAGAGGAUGGCCAGCCACACUGGAACUGAGACACGGUCCAG
rnacentral:rRNA from 1 species